GACGAACGCUGGCGGCGUGCCUAAUACAUGCAAGUAGAACGCUGACUACUUUAGCUUGCUAGAGUAGAAGGAGUUGCGAACGGGUGAGUAACGCGUAGGUAACCUGCCUACUAGCGGGGGAUAACUAUUGGAAACGAUAGCUAAUACCGCAUAACAGUGUUUAACACAUGUUAGAUGCUUGAAAGAUGCAAUUGCAUCACUAGUAGAUGGACCUGCGUUGUAUUAGCUAGUUGGUGGGGUAACGGCCCACCAAGGCGACGAUACAUAGCCGACCUGAGAGGGUGAUCGGCCACAUUGGGACUGAGACACGGCCCAG
rnacentral:rRNA from 1 species